rnacentral:lncRNA from 1 species
CCUCGCCCCUUUGGCUACGGCACUGCGUCCGCGCCGCACGUCGCGCCCUCGUCCUGGCUUCCGGGGCGGGACGGAAGAGCGGGCGGGACCUUCCAGUCCAAGGCGCCGCGGCUUCCGCCCGGGAGGGGCGCUGAUCCCAAACGAGGUUGUGCGCGCUUCCUGCGAUGGAUUUUUGCUGUCCCCGUUCAGCCCCAGCUGCAGCAGGCCAGAGACAUGGGGCUGGGCCGCGGGACAGGGUGGUGAGGACAUCCCGGUUCCCACGAAAAGCAACCGCCUGGCAAGGCUGGAGCAGACAAAGAGGGAGUGAAGGGGUGUGGCUCGCUCCCCAAGUUUUUUGGCUCAGCUUCAGUGUUGGGUCAUUCUUGGGGACUGCUAUACCCACUGGGCACUGCAGAACUUCUGGUGCUCGUGGCAAAGGGGAGUCGGGAGGAGCCCUGUCCCCGGAUCAGACCUUCCUGUUUGGAGUACUGGGACCCAGUGGCCCUGUGCACCUUUCCUGAAGCUUCUGGGCCCCCAGUGGUCGAAUGCAGAGUGGGCUGGGGAGUCACAGACUGUGCUUCCUGCCUUCAUCCUCCGUUCCAGGUUCCUGUGCAUUCGUGGGCCCAUCCACCUGCCUGGGCUUGGCUAGGCUGUGACCUUCUCUGAGGACAGGGCUCUGCCUGCAUUUGGAGCUGCUGGGACCUCAGUGUCACCCCCCACUCUCGCCAGCUGGCCUCACAAAGGUGCCCAGGAGGAGACCUGAUUGCCGGCUCCUUUCCCCUCCCUGGCUGAGCAGAUUCUACAACAGCCUGUGGAAAUUAAAAUAAGAGCCUGAAACUGUCAAAAAAAAUUUUUUAACCAAGUCACAAAUGGGAAAGCUGAGGCGGCAGCAGGUUAAGGACACGUUGUGAUGUAGCGUUCUCUCCCAGUGCUUUCGUACUAUAAACAUCACAGUCCACGGUCCCUGUGAACAGGCAGCCACAGAGACUGGGUUUAGAGUUGCCGGGGGAAGGCUGCAUCCAAAGUGUGGCCAGCUCAGAACUCUUCCACCACAUGGGGGGUCAUUAGUUCUGCUCAGUUCUGUGGGGCCUCACUAGUGUUUCCAUUUAAAAAUAAGUCAAGGUAAAAGAAAAAGUUUUAAAAUGUAACAGUCAUGUCUCUAUUUCUGUAAUUGUAAAGAAAUACACUGACGGCUGGAGGCUGUGCAGCAGAGCACCUAGGAGAGAAUGUUUUCUUUUUCUUUCUUUUUUUUUUCCUGAAUUCUCCAAACCAUCUAUAACAGUGUGUAUUGCUUUUAUAAUGGGAAGAGAUAAAAUAUACUUACAUUAAAAAUAAUCAAAGUGCACCUGAGCCUACAUGUCAAAUGAUAAACGUGAUAAUCAAAGGCACUUUCUAUUUAUCAAAUACCUGGUUUAUGCCGCAUCUCCUGCUAGUCCCUCCCAGCAUGCUGGCUCCUCAGAACACCCUGCAGGUGGGAGCUGGCAGCCGGGUCCCUGAGGCAGCACUCAGCACCCACGUGGCAGAGCCAAGGCUGGACAGGGAUGACUCCAACUGCCAGGAUUGUAUUAUGCUUAUAACGACUUCCUGCCUAUUUGUAUUUAAGACAAGGUCUCUCACUGUAGCCUUGACCUCCCGGGCUUGAGCAGUCCUCCCACCUCAGCCUCCGGAGUAGCUGGGAGUUACAGGUGCAUACCACCAUGCUUGGCUAAUUUUUGUACAUUUUGCAGAGACAGGGUUUCACUGUGUUGCCCAGGCUGGUCUGGAAUUCCUGGGCUCGUGCGAUCCACCAGCCUCAGCCUCCCAAAGUGCCAGGAUUACAGGCGUGAGCCACAACACCCAGCCCCUGCCUCUUAAAGGUGAACAUUUUCCCUAAAUACAAUGAUAUUCAGUUCAAGUAUUUGUAUCUUACUUACAUAGAAUAUGGAAUUAUUUCUGUAAACAGAAUUUAGUAAACAAUAUAAAAAUCAGCCAGGUGUGCUGGCUUACGCCUGUAAUCCCAGCACUUUGGGAGGCCAAGGUAGGCAGAUCACAAGGUCAGGAGAUCGAGACCACCCUGGCCAACAUGGUGAAACCCUGACUCUACUAAAAAUACAAAAAUUAACUGGGCAUGGUGGUGUACACCUGUAGUCCCAGCUACUUGGGAGGCUGAGGCAGGAGAAUUGCAUGAACCCGGGAGGCGGAGGUUGCAGUGAACCAAGAUCGCACCACUGCGUCACUGCACUCCAUCUUGGUGACAGGGUGAGACUCUGUCUUAGAAAAAAAAAAAAAAAGGAAAAGAAAUAUAAAACUCAUAGAUUUUUACCUUAUUUUACCUUAUGACACUGUUGACCAACAGCCAAAGUCAGGAUCAGUUAUGUAACUCUCAGAGCCUAGAACAAAAUGAAAAUAUGGGUUCCCUUGUUCAAGAAUGACUGAGAAUUUUAAGAUCGGGGACAGCCAAACAUUGAGUGUGGGGCCCUGCUGCACACGGACCCUCUACCACGGGGCAAGCCACAACACCCACAAAGUCAGCCCUGGACGAGUUAUUGAUGGUGUAUGACAGAACUAAGGUGACAGUUCCCUUUGUGACACACUAAUCAUCAGUGGCCGCCAGUCAGAAAACAAAUGGGCUUAAGCUGCAGGAAGAUGAGCCGUUCCCAAGGCAUUUUCCGAUCUGAAAAACAGCGGUCGCAGCUCAGGAAUGGAGUUCCCGGUGAGGAUGCAGCGGGAGACAGAGCCAGGCUUCCCUCCCAGGAAAGGGCCAGGCCCUGCAUAGGAGCUUUCGUGAAAAACCAGGGAGGCUGCAGAUUCUCUUGAAAUGCCAACACGCUGGUGCCACACCUCGAUAGAGCUGCAGUCACUCUGCUGUGGCGCGUGCGAGGCUGACCGUCCUAGACCUUGGGGAGAAAUCAUGACAGCUGAUGCCAGUGCUUGUUACUAGGAAAACACAGUAAGAAACUUCAUCCCUAAAUGUUUAUAUCUACUAUGUACUCACAAAAAUUUUAAAAAAGGAUUUACUAUGAAAAUGUAAAGUAUCUCAUUAAUCUUUAUCUUGAUCAUAUGUUGAACUGAUAAUAUUUUGGAUGUAUUGGUUUAAAUAAAAUAUAUUCAUUAAAAAAAGAAAAGGAAAGG